ACGAGUGUGGUGCAGCGGUAGCAUACGGGUCUCCAAAACCUUUGACGGGAGUUCGAAUCUCUCCACUCGUGCAA
rnacentral:tRNA from 2 species